UGGGGAAUAUUGCACAAUGGGCGCAAGCCUGAUGCAGCCAUGCCGCGUGUGUGAAGAAGGCCUUCGGGUUGUAAAGCACUUUCAGCGGGGAGGAAGGCGGUGAGGUUAAUAACCUCAUCGAUUGACGUUACCCGCAGAAGAAGCACCGGCUAACUCCGUGCCAGCAGCCGCGGUAAUACGGAGGGUGCAAGCGUUAAUCGGAAUUACUGGGCGUAAAGCGCACGCAGGCGGUCUGUCAAGUCGGAUGUGAAAUCCCCGGGCUCAACCUGGGAACUGCAUUCGAAACUGGCAGGCUAGAGUCUUGUAGAUGGGGGUAGAAUUCCAGGUGUAGCGGUGAAAUGCGUAGAGAUCUGGAGGAAUACCGGUGGCGAAGGCGGCCCCCUGGACAAAGACUGACGCUCAGGUGCGAAAGCGUGGGGAGCAAACAGG
rnacentral:rRNA from 1 species